rnacentral:rRNA from 1 species
GAACCGUCCAAACGUUAUUCGGAAUCACUGGGCUUAAAGGGUGCGUAGGCGGCUUGGAAAGUUGGGUGUGAAAUCCCUCGGCUCAACCGAGGAACUGCACUCAAAACUGCCAGGCUUGAGGGAGACAGAGGUAAGCGGAACUCAGGGUGGAGCGGUGGAAUGCGUUGAUAUCCUGGGGAACACCAGUUGCGAAGGCGGCUUACUGGGUUCUCUUCUGACGCUGAGGUACGAAAGCUAGGGGAGCGAACGGGAUUAGAUACCCCGGGGUAGUCCUAGCUGUAAACGUUGAGCACUGGAUCGGAGGAUUUCGGUUUUCCCGGUCGUAGCGAAAGUGUUAAGUGCUCCGCCUGGGGAGUAUGGUCGCAAGGCUG